CAGGAUUAAAAGAGAAGCUAAAAUGCUCCACGGAGCUGAGGCAAGUCGUGAACUUUUGUAAAGAAAUCCAGACAGCCCUUGGAUCUAAGUGGAGCUGAGGAUUGAUGACUACUUAUAUUUACAACGUGGAAGCCGAGUCCUGCUGGCAUCAUCGCAUCUCCACGCACGCUCACAGGUUUCCAUUAAUCUCGCCUCAAAGUGUGCCGUUGGCUUUGUUUGGCACAAAGGAUAUUUGGAGUAUUAGUUUAUACAAGUUCCAUCUCUGACCUGUUGCUGCGUGGCGUGUGUGUGGUCUCAUAAUGUGAUAUCUCCACCAACUCUGCAAAACCAGCAGGACAGACUGCCGGCACAGCAGCAACCACUUUGAUUUUCCACAGAAGAGUGAUUCACUCUCGAAUGAACACUUAGUGACCCAGAGCUUAAAGGCCAAGAUUAGCCCUGGCAACCGAGGCCCUCUGGGGUCCACAAUCGAUGUUUACUGUGGAACACCCUGCUGUUUACCUGAGCUCGCUCCCGUCCAUCCAGUCCAAGUCACAAGAGGUAUGAAGCAAUCAGAAGCAAAAAUGUGGAGGAUCAGAGAAGCACAUAAUAAAAACUGCUUAAAGGAAUAUCUCAACAUUUAGGGGGAGCAGGGAAUAUAUACUUAUUUUCUUAAAUAAGUAAAGCUGGACAGAAAAUUUUAAUGGGUACCACCAGAUGUUAGCAACCAUAAUAGCUAUUUUAAAUCGAAAUAUCUAAGCAGUUUAAUGAAUCAACUCCCUUAAGACAUGUAUUUAUCAUAUUUUUAGAGUCAGAUGGUUAAAUUACUCAUUUGAUUAGUGUUAAAAAAUAUCUCAAGAAUUGGGGGAGCCUGUCUAAACAAGAGAAAAAGUAGAUGUUCAGCUGUCAUUUUGUACUGUUAUUGAUAUUUGAGCAUUCAUAAAGUUUUUAAUUGGGAAUCAGA